AGAUUAUACCAUCAGUUACCUGAAGUGAAAAAGCAAAAGAGAAAGCAAAGCAAGACGCAUAUGCCCAAAACAGAGCAAGGGCAAAAGAAUUUCAUAAGAAAACAUUAGAGACACUUCGAGCCAAAAAUAUAUGCUGACUUUCCGCACAAAGUGUAAAGGGUUUUUUUUUUUAUUAUGUGUAACACCAAGUUAUUUAAGUCAAUAAAUUUUUAAGGAAUUUCA